rnacentral:rRNA from 1 species
CCUACGGGGGGCAGCAGUGGGGAAUAUUGGACAAUGGGGGGAACCCUGAUCCAGCCAUGCCGCGUGUGUGAAGAAGGCCCUCGGGUUGUAAAGCACUUUCAGUGAGGAAGAACGCCUGGUGGUUAAUACCCAUCAGGAAAGACAUCACUCACAGAAGAAGCACCGGCUAACUCCGUGCCAGCAGCCGCGGUAAUACGGAGGGUGCGAGCGUUAAUCGGAAUUACUGGGCGUAAAGCGCGCGUAGGUGGCUUGAUAAGCCGGUUGUGAAAGCCCCGGGCUCAACCUGGGAACGGCAUCCGGAACUGUCAAGCUAGAGUGCAGGAGAGGAAGGUAGAAUUCCCGGUGUAGCGGUGAAAUGCGUAGAGAUCGGGAGGAAUACCAGUGGCGAAGGCGGCCUUCUGGACUGACACUGACACUGAGGUGCGAAAGCAUGGGUAGCAAACAGGAUUAGAUACCCUGGUAGUC